GACGAACGCUGGCGGCGUGCUUAACACAUGCAAGUCGAACGAUGUAGCGGUGCUUGCACCGUGGAUUAGUGGCGAACGGGUGAGUAAUACGUGAGUGACCUACCUUUGACUCUGGGAUAAGCCUGGGAAACUGGGUCUAAUACCGGAUACGACCAAUCUCUGCAUGGGGUGUUGGUGGAAAGCGUUAUGGAGUGGUUUUAGAUGGGCUCACGGCCUAUCAGCUUGUUGGUGAGGUAAUGGCUUACCAAGGCGACGACGGGUAGCCGGCCUGAGAGGGUGACCGGCCACACUGGGACUGAGACACGGCCCAGACUCCUACGGGAGGCAGCAGUGGGGAAUAUUGCACAAUGGGCGCAAGCCUGAUGCAGCGACGCCGCGUGAGGGAUGACGGCCUUCGGGUUGUAAACCUCUGUUAGCAUCGAAGAAGCGAAAGUGACGGUAGGUGCAGAGAAAGCGCCGGCUAACUACGUG
rnacentral:rRNA from 1 species